AAAAAGUGUCAAAUGUGUUGCGUAGUGUUACUUUAACAAUAUGUCCUUAUCAAGUUUAAGUAUUAACUGGUGUGUGAGUGUGUUUCCCCUGUCUGGGCAUGUUCCCAUGACGUCGUAGUUGGUGUUAUUUAAAAUUAUGUAUAUUUGACGCCACUCUCACAAGGUCUGUUAACGAUACGUUUGACACGCCCCUGUUUAGACCGAGUUUUGCUUUCGGUUUCAUGAACUUGACAGGAUUUUCAACAUGAAACAAAACGGCUACUAAACAAGACAUGGAAGGAAGAACCAUUAAAGUUUGCGGAGUGCCUGAUAUUCUUCCCGCUGACCGGAUUGUUGACAAGGUCACAAUCCACUUCUUACGACCCAGACAGGGGGGCGGAGAGGUUCUUAGAGUAAUCUAUCCAAGCUCCACAAAAGGGCAAGCCUUUGUCGUAUUCGAGCAUAAUGAAGUGGCUGCCCGGGUUGCAGGUCUAAAACAAUCCUUGGACAUAGAUGGCCAACAGUAUCCCCUGACGAUUGAGAUAGUGGAUCGACCAGACGUGGACCUCCCUGUUCAGGCCACCUUGGACCUGCGAAUGUUCCCUGACCAGAGUGAAGUCCGUCGUCUCCUGAGGAAUCACAACUUUAAGGUGUCAGAGCUCAGCCCUGGUAAGGUGCUACUGGAUGGAACAUUCCUGAGCCUGCGAGCCGUCCGUUCCCAGCUCCAGAGACAGCUCCAGGAGGCUCGGCCCCACGCAGACAGGGACCGCUCUGUCUUCACCUCAAAUGACACUGCCUCAGGUGCACUCACCGAAGACUCAUACAGAGCGCAGCCCCAUGUGAAUGGUUCACAUGUUUAUGAGAGAGAAGGUUCCUAUACGAACAACUCACAGGAUUACGUGAGGCCAGGGGGUUCCUCUGCUAGUUCAGAUCAGUCUCUUUCGCCUUCUUAUCACUCGUGGGAGAGGAGUUCUUCUCAAAACCAAAGCUAUUUAUCACAGGAUUCGGAAGCUCCUCAAAGCUUACCCAACUUUCCGAAAGACACCUUGACAGGCAAACCACCGCUGCAGAGGGGGACAGCGUCUCCAAGGGAGAUCUCUCUCCAGGUGGAUGCCGAUAGUUACCGUUACACCUGGACCUUCAAGAACGAUCUUGUAACCGACAUACUUAUAACCCACGGUGUAGAGGCCACUACGAAUGAGCUUUCGGGGAUAACAACCUUAACCCUGAAGGGAAAGGGGUGUGAGAGAGCUAUGCAGAAGCUGCAGGAUCUCAUCAGUGACACUUCCUCUACUUUACGCACCCAGGAAAUAUCACUGUCCACACUCAGCCAUGAACAAAGAGUACAGAUUGGAAAACAAGUUCAGCGAUUUAAGGACGUGUACAAAGUGUUCGUCAAGCAAUCACAAAGCUCGAUUCUAAUCAUCGGAUCUUCCACAGACAGCUAUGAGAUGAAACAGAGCUUACUAGGAGAACCUGUACACAGCUAUGAGAUGAAACAGAGGUUACUAGGAGAACCUGUAGCCCUUUCAAGCUCUGUGCGUACAGGCCGUGACACUGAAAGAGGCCCGAGAACGAGGCGUAGCUCAUCCUUACCCAAACAACCGAAGUUAAGGCCCGACCAGCACAGCAGUGCAAGGCUGGAGUCUCCACCUGUGUCUGCUUCUCAGGCCUACUCUCCCUCACAUUACCAGGGCGAUGAACCGAGGGGAGGGGCUGCCAUGGGAGGGUCACGCAGAGGAUCCAGUUCAGACAGAAGAGAGAAGACGACGGUUCAGAGGCCUGUGCACAAGGCAGACAAGCAGAAUAUGGCUCCCUCUAGUGGGGCUCCAAUGCCACCAUUGAAGAAAAAUGCAUUGAAUUCAGUAAUUGAAAAUACAUCGUCAUCAUUAAAAAAAAAAUGGACUAGCAUGACUAGCAAGAGAUGAGUCUAAAAUAUGAGUCCAUACAGCUGUCACUUUAAUAUUUGUAGAGUGUAUUUGUUCCAAACUAGAAAAUGUGAUAAGUUGUUAAAAAAAAGGUAGUUCUAACAUUGAAUUCAAAACAAAAAAUUAGGUACUUGAUUGCUGAUGCCCAUACAUACAUAGUAUUGUUAAAGCUGUCAUGUUGUAUUUAGAGUAACAAUUAUGAAGUCUAAUAAUAUAUUUUUUGUUAUUAAAACAGGUAAUAUGUUACUGUGCAGAUGAAUUAUACAAAAUUUGCACAAUCUCUUCAGUUUUGUGAUUUUCAAGUCAUCUCUCACCUCUGGGAUUCACACGAUAUCUGUUUUAUUUGUUCAUUGAAUGAUUAUGAAUAGGUAUUCGUAUUGGAUUACUCAUUGGAUUACUCACUCAUACUCACUCAUAUGUUUUUAAAAUUGUAAUGUUGUCUUUUGUCUUUACACUACACUAGAAAAUGUAUCCUGAAUGGGAAGUGAUUAAUUGCAUGUUCCAAAGGAGUCGUGUUUGCAACAUCCCCAAGGAGAUUUAAAUCACUGUUGAAAAUGAUCUGUGUGACAAGUUUUAUUGACAUUAAACAUGUUCGAAUAGAGAAUGAAAGCCUUGUUGUGUUUAAUUGUAUUACUGAAAUUGAAUUAUUUAUGUGAUAUUUCACCAUUUUCCAUACAAUACUCCUACAACCUUGGUCAUAUGUUGAUCAUUGUUGGGUCUAACUGCCUAUUUCAGUUUGUCUUUUUUUCUGUAGCCUUCUCAUUUUUAGUGUUUGUCAUUGCCAUGGCAACAGAAACCAUGGUGAAAAUUGAGGAAGUUUUCUUCAUUGGUCCUGAAAAUGAAUGCGUGAAGCAGGAAGUGAGCUAUUCUUGUCGUGUCAAAAUGUCUGUGCUGGAGACCAUAGGAAUUAAUGGACUGCACAGAGGCAGGUCAUAUAAUGGAGUGGGUUGCAAGAGAGGUUGCCAUGCAGUUAAGUAUACACAGUCUUCAGUAACUGCUG
rnacentral:lncRNA from 1 species